CCAGACUCCUACGGGAGGCAGCAGUCGGGAAUAUUGCGCAAUGGAGGAAACUCUGACGCAGUGACGCCGCGUGCAGGAAGAAGGUUUUCGGAUUGUAAACUGCUUUAGACAGGGAAGAAACAAGACAGUACCUGUAGAAUAAGCUCCGGCUAACUACGUGCCAGCAGCCGCGGUAAUACGUAGGGAGCAAGCGUUAUCCGGAUUUAUUGGGUGUAAAGGGUGCGUAGACGGAGAAGCAAGUUAGUUGUGAAAUCCCUCGGCUUAACUGAGGAACUGCAACUAAAACUACUUCCCUUGAGUGCUGGAGAGGAAAGUGGAAUUCCUAGUGUAGCGGUGAAAUGCGUAGAUAUUAGGAGGAACACCAGUGGCGAAGGCGACUUUCUGGACAGUAACUGACGUUGAGGCACGAAAGUGUGGGGAGCAAACAGGAUUAGAUACCCUCGUAC
rnacentral:rRNA from 1 species